rnacentral:rRNA from 1 species
GUGUCAGCCGCCGCGGUAAAACGUAGGAGGCGAGCGUUAUCCGGAUUUACUGGGUGUAAAGCGCGUGCAGGCGGAGCGGAAAGUUGGAUGUAAAAGCUCCCGGCUUAACUGGGAGAGGUCGUUCAAAACUACCGGUCUAGAGUACAGUAGAGGAAAGUGGAAUUCCGGGUGUAGUGGUGAAAUGCGUAGAUAUCCGGAGGAACACCAGUGGCGAAAGCGGCUUUCUGGACUGAAACUGACGCUCAGACGCGAAAGCUAGGGUAGCAAACGGGAUUAGAGACCCCGGUAGUCCUAGCCGUAAACGAUGUAGACUUGGCGUCAGCGGGUUUAAAUCCGUUGGUGCCGAAGCAAACGCGAUAAGUCUACCACCUGGGGACUACGGCCGCAAGGUUAAA